AUUGAACGCUGGCGGCAGGCCUAACACAUGCAAGUCGAACGAGUGGCGGACGGGUGAGUAAUGUCUGGGAAACUGCCUGAUGGAGGGGGACAACUACUGGAAACGGUAGCUAAUACCGCAUACCAUCGGAUGUGCCCAGAUGGGAUUAGCUAGUAGGUGGGGUAACGGCUCACCUAGGCGACGAUCCGUAGCUGGUGGGCGAGGAUGACCAGCCACACUGGGACUGAGACACGGUCCAGACUCCGACGGGAGGCAGCAGUGGGGAAUAUUGGACAAUGGGCGCAAGCCUGAUGCAGCCAUGCCGCGUGUAUGAAGAAGGCCUUCGGGUUGUAAAGUACUUUCGGCAGGGAGGCGUUACCCGCAGAAGAAGCACCGGCUAACUCCGUGCCAGCAGCCGCGGUAAUAC
rnacentral:rRNA from 1 species